rnacentral:rRNA from 1 species
GAUGAACGCUGGCGGCGUGCCUAAUACAUGCAAGUCGAGCGAACGGACGAGAAGCUUGCUUUUCUGAUGUUAGCGGCGGACGGGUGAGUAACACGUGGAUAACCUACCUAUAAGACUAGGAUAACUUCGGGAAACCGGAGCUAAUACCGGAUAAUAUUUUGAGCCGCAUGGUUCAAAAGUGAAAGACGGUCUUGCUGUCACUUAUAGAUGGAUCCGCGCUGCAUUAGCUAGUUGGUAAGGUAACGGCUUACCAAGGCAACGAUGCAUAGCCGACCUGAGAGGGUGAUCGGCCACACUGGAACUGAGACACGGUCCAGACUCCUACGGGAGGCAGCAGUAGGGAAUCUUCCGCAAUGGGCGAAAGCCUGACGGAGCAACGCCGCGUGAGUGAUGAAGGUCUUCGGAUCGUAAAACUCUGUUAUUAGGGAAGAACAUAUGUGUAAGUAACUGUGCACAUCUUGACGGUACCUAAUCAGAAAGCCACGGCUAACUACGUG